GCAUCAAUGGGGUAGUGUUAACCUGGGUCGUUGCCAUGAUCCAAGGAGCUAUGUGUUUCGACCCGCCGGGGGUUCAAUUCUCCCUUGAUGCA